CGCCUCUCUCCUCUACUGCUCCCUGUUCCCGCCGCCCUCUCCCUCUCUCCUGUUCCCCGCCGCCGCCUCUCUCCCUCUCUUCUCCCUGCCUUCCUGCCACCGUCUCCUCCCCUCCUGCUCCCUGUCGCCACCCGCUCCCUGGGAUCCGGAUCCAGUGCGGGACAGGGCUCGGAGGGCGCGUGCCGGCUGGCCACGGUGACGGUGGCCAGCCGCCCCAACCAUGUCGACUCGGCGCGGCGGUCCAGCUCUGCCCCAUCCCCGCUCCGCUACAGUCGGAUUUGCCCCAGCGGUGGCCACGCUCAUCCCGUGUCUUGCGACGGCGCUCCUCUCCAGCCUGGUCGCCCGAAUCAUGUCGACCCGGCGCAGUGGCCCAGCUCCGCUAAGCCGUCUUCGACCCGGCGCCUCACUCUACGGCGGUGGCCACGCUCCUCCCGGAUCUUGCAGCGGCGCUCUCCUCCAGCCUCGUCCCUCCUCCAUGCGCUAUGGCAGGCGCAAGCUCCGGCGGUGGUGGCCGCGGCCGCGGCCGCCGCCGGCGCGCAAGUUCCGUGUGCGCCUGGUGGUCUGGCAAUCGAAGGGCUGCCCCUGCUGGCGCCUGCGCCUGCUACAGAGUCAGCCUCGUCGGAGCAGGAGGCGGCGGGCGCGGCGCCGCCGAGGGCUGUCGCGGCGGAGGUGAGGUGGAAGGGGCCCUGUGCGUUUGCGCUGGGUUCACUGCGGCGCGCUGCAGUCAGGCACAACAGCACGCGGGGGAGGUGAAGGCGGCGUGGGAGUUCGAGAGUAUCGUCACGCUUGCGGCCACAGCGCAGCGGGAGGGCGUCGCGUUCCAGCGCUGAGAUAUCCACGGCGUACGGCCAAGAUCCACGGCGGCGGGCGCAUCCUCAGCCCUUGUCCACUGUGGAUGGUGGUUCAGGCCCACUUUCAUCUUGGCUGAAAUACCAGCCCCUUCCUCAUUGCUAAACCUGCUGCGCGGCACCUCGGCUACGCGGGGAUGCAGCAUUCAUCUGCUGCAGCGCCCCUUCCUUGCAGGACAUCCCUACUCCUUGUGCCUUCCAUGCACCUGGUGCCUGCUUUUGGCUUAGGUGGCCGGUUGCUGCAAGCUGUUCUGCUUGCAUCUCAGGCAUUCGACGCAGAAUAGCAUCAAAGGAGACAUGCUGACUGGUAGAUGAGGUGCAAGUCUGAAGAUCCACAUCCACAAGGUGUGAUCUUUUGUCAUUUCUUUUCCCUACAGGUUUCUUAUAUGCUCCAUAUUUUGCUUAAGCUCAAUUCUGAUGGCAAGUACUAGCCAUAUUGUUCCUUAAUGUGGCUACAUUUUCAAUUCAUCUUCCAUACUACUACUUUAGUUAAUAAUUGUAUUUGUAUGGCUGACCAGUGUUCUUAAGAGGGAGUAAUAAUUAUAGAAGAGUCCAAUCUGUCGAGUUAUGAUUGGAAGCCUCAGAACUCAGAAUAGGUGAUUAGUUUGUAUCUAAUGACUACUGCUUUAGUGAAGAAUAUCGGUAAAACAGUUGGCCGUGAUCUACCAUUCCCCUAAUUUAGUGUAUUCAUUAGUUAAAUGAGAAUAUCAGUCAUAAUAUUGAGAUCAUUUAAUUAAUUUUGCAUGCUCACAUUUUUUCCCAUUCUCCCUCCUGAACUACUAUGCAUCUCUAUCCAAUAAGCAUAAUUGCAUCUUCUUUAUCUUGCAUUCUGUAUCUUGAAUUCCUAUGUACCCCUGCAUUGUAUGUGCAUGCUUGGUCAACAAUGGAUGGACCGACCUGAAAAGGAAAGCUGCUCUUGGCUACUCAAAUUGUUAGCUAUCUCAUACUCCCUCCUUCCCCGUUUGUAGGGUGCAUGACCAUUUUCAGCUUUUCUUCCAAUAUAAGGCGUGCAGCCUUGGGUUUUGUUACGCAGGAAUUAACUCAUGGAAGCAAUUAACUCACGGAAGCAUUUAAGCGCCUGCAGGAUUUCGCGGCGGGAGAACAUUUGCAUGCUGCCAUGCAGAAUUCCAUUUGCAUGUGGCCAUGCAAGGCUGCAUGCGGCCAUGCAACAUCUCUAAGAUCGAAGCGAUGCCGUUUGCUCUCCAUGUUAUUAAUGCAAAUCUUGGUACCUGUGUUAUUUGGUCAUGCGCGGAUGCGCCCUACAAACGGGGAAGGAGGGAGUAAUUAAGGAGCAGGGUGGCACCUCUGUUGCUCUCUGAACCACCAACCACACCACAAAGCGGCAGCAAGAUUACUGAACCGAGGCCUCAAAUGCUCGAAGCGAGGUGGCAAGGUGCCAGUGCCAGCCAAGCUCGGACGCAGCAUGGGCUGCUACAGCCUGGAGCCACGGGCAGACAAGGCCAUAUGGGCAUGUUGCGGUGGGUCAGUCCCGGGUGGUGGCGAGAGGGCGGCGUGGCAACAUGCUCCUGGUCGAGCUUGAGCUCAAGCAUAGCAACGAGCGCCGGCCAGCACGGCGGAUAUGCUCAUAGACCUGCUAUAUCCAGUUAUCAUUCUGAUUCCAUAUAUGGGUGAUAAGGGCAACUAGCACUAGAAAACUUUGUCACUAAUGACCACGAAACAACACUUACCUUUUAAUGUGCUAUCGCCUUGCAUUUAGGGAAGCAAAUAGUAAGGCAGUGAUCUAAGAGUACAUAUUGUGAUGUCAUUACUUUUAUUGGUCUUCCGCAGCACUAAGUCAUGAACCCAUGGAUUGUUCCUACAAUUCGACAUGUUGUCAUAUGUAAAACUUGUAUUUGAGUAAAACAGUGCAUAUGUUAGCAUAUUAACGAUGUAUUUAUUACAAUAUGGUGUGAUUUUGUGUCGAAUUAUUAU